GGUGCCUGUGUGAAAUUAGAGAACCACUUUUAGGAAUCAGCCCUCUCCUUCUACUUUGUGGGUUCCAGAACCAAACUCAAACUCGGGUGACAGGCACCUCUGUAUGCUGAGCCACCUGGAUAGCAGGAGUGCUGCUAUUUCAAGGCUAUGCCACCGCGCCCAGCUUUCCUGGAAGACAUCAAGAGGAGAAAAGAUGGUCAGAUGCCGACAAGCAAGAUCUAAGUGCUGAGAAGUGCUGUUAGGAAAAUGCAUAUGAAGGCCUGAGGAACGCUCUAUUUACAGGCUUCGGAGGAGCCAUAAUCCCCAAUCUUCUACUGGCUGUUGAUGUUGCUUGAGAAGCACAUGAAGCUGAGCUGGAUCCUGUUACACCAGAGAAUUUACUUCUAGAAGAUACUUUUCUGCAUGUAGUAGAGCCCCUAAAAAUGUGGCAAAAAAAAAAAGAUUAAAAUUCUAAAUGUGACCAAGUUAACGGUCUUUUGUGUGCUAACUUGCAGGAGAACAAGCAUGGUUAUCUUUGGUCUUGUGUUCGUCUGCAUUUUCUGUCUGGGGGGGGAGAAUGAAUCUGCCAACAGCAGCCUCCAUUUCAACGGCUCAUCCAUUUUCCUCCCACUCAGAAAGCCCAGAACACACCUGGUUCAUUGUGUGUCAUCCUGGAGAUGUGAGCCCUUGUUGGGGGUGAAGGGCUCUGGCAAGGAGCCCCAACUAUUCCCCUACUGUACAGGGUUUCUCUGCGCAGUCCUGGCAAUCCUCAGACUCAACAGAUUUGUCUGCUUCUGCCUCUCAAGUGCUAGGAAUGAAGGCGUGUGUGACCAUGCGUGACAUUGAACUCAGUAUGUGCCCACAGACUAGCCUGCACUCUGAUCUUCCUGCCUCCUAGCUCCCAGUGAUUCUGUUACAAUAUGAAGUUUUUUGGGGGCCACCAUCUCUGGAUUGAAGGCAAAGAAGCAAGGCAGAAGGUAAAGGGCGUGUGGCAGAGGUUGGGAAAGGAGCUGUUGGACCUAGCCCAAUGGUGGAGAACAAGCCUGCUGCCAAGACCUGGCCACUCUGCAUUUGCUUCUCCCUCUACAGACAUGUUGCAAUCCAAAGACAAGCAAAGGGAAGGGAAGACAGAAACCACUUACACAGUCCCUAAAGAAACUUGGCUUGCCCACCGUUUGGAGUUCCUCAAUCCUGUCAAGGCUAGGAGGGCCAGUCUCCAGGGCAUUGAAAGUGGCAGGGAGGUGGAGGGACGUAGCUGGGCUGGCAUGCUCAUUUAGUAUGGAGGAGGAGAGAGGUUUGAUCUCAGCAUAAACCAGGUGGAAUGGCCCAUGUGUACUGUCAGCAGUUGGAAGGUAGAGGCAGGAGUAUAAACUCAGGGACAUCCUUGGCUAGAAACAAGUUCAAGGCCAGACUGUGACACAAGAGACCCGCAGAGAGGCCUUACGGAAUCUUGCAGCCAGGGGGAGUGCAGCAAACACCCGAAGAUGGACAAAAGCCUGGACAACACACAACCCUUUGUUAUUUACUCAGUGUAUUUUUGGUGGAAGAGUACUUUAAGAAGAACAAUUACCUCAAAACAAACAAAAAUUUUGAGGUAAAGACAAAGUUCAAGAAGUAUUUGCAAAUUAUAUUGUUUUAAAAAUCUGAAGCCAGGCUGGGGAGAUGGCUCAGGGGUUAAGAGCACUGACUGUCUUCCAAAGGUCCUGAGUUCAAUUCCCAGCAACCACAUGGUGGCUCAUAACCAUCUAUAAUGAGAUCUGGUGCCCUCUUCUGGCCUGCAGGCACACAUGCAGGCAGGAUA